GGCGGACGGGUGAGUAACACGUGGAUAACCUACCUAUAAGACUGGGAUAACUUCGGGAAACCGGAGCUAAUACCGGAUAAUAUAUUGAACCGCAUGGUUCAAUAGUGAAAGACGGUUUUGCUGUCACUUAUAGAUGGAUCCGCGCCGCAUUAGCUAGUUGGUAAGGUAACGGCUUACCAAGGCGACGAUGCGUAGCCGACCUGAGAGGGUGAUCGGCCACACUGGAACUGAGACACGGUCCAG
rnacentral:rRNA from 1 species